AGACCCGAAACCCGGUGAUCUAGCCAUGGGCAGGUUGAAGGUUGGGUAACACUAACUGGAGGACCGAACCGACUAAUGUUGAAAAAUUAGCGGAUGACCUGUGGCUGGGGGUGAAAGGCCAAUCAAACCGGGAGAUAGCUGGUUCUCCCCGAAAGCUAUUUAGGUAGCGCCUCGUGAAUUCAUCUCCGGGGGUAGAGCACUGUUUCGGCUAGGGGGCCAUCCCGGCUUACCAACCCGAUGCAAACUGCGAAUACCGGAGAAUGUUAUCACGGGAGACACACGGCGGGUGCUAACGUCCGUCGUGAAGAGGGAAACAACCCAGACCGCCAGCUAAGGUCCCAAAGUCAUGGUUAAGUGGGAAACGAUGUGGGAAGGCCCAGACAGCCAGGAUGUUGGCUUAGAAGCAGCCAUCAUUUAAAGAAAGCGUAAUAGCUCACUGGUCGAGUCGGCCUGCGCGGAAGAUGUAACGGGGCUAAACCAUGCACCGAAGCUGCGGCAGCGACGCUGAUGCGUUGUUGGGUAGGGGAGCGUUCUGUAAGCCUGCGAAGGUGGCCUGUGAGGGUUGCUGGAGGUAUCAGAAGUGCGAAUGCUGACAUAAGUAACGAUAAAGCGGGUGAAAAGCCCGCUCGCCGGAAGACCAAGGGUUCCUGUCCAACGUUAAUCGGGGCAGGGUGAGUCGACCCCUAAGGCGAGGCCGAAAGGCGUAGUCGAUGGGAAACGGGUUAAUAUUCCCGUACUUGGUGUUACUGCGAAGGGGGGACGGAGAAGGCUAUGUUGGCCGGGCGACGGUUGUCCCGGUUUAAGCGUGUAGGUGUGUGUUCCAGGUAAAUCCGGUUCACUUUAACACUGAGGCGUGAUGACGAGGCACUACGGUGCUGAAGCAACAAAUGCCCUGCUUCCAGGAAAAGCCUCUAAGCAUCAGGUAACAUCAAAUCGUACCCCAAACCGACACAGGUGGUCAGGUAGAGAAUACCAAGGCGCUUGAGAGAACUCGGGUGAAGGAACUAGGCAAAAUGGUGCCGUAACUUCGGGAGAAGGCACGCUGACACGUAGGUGAAGUGAUUUACUCAUGGAGCUGAAGUCAGUCGAAGAUACCAGCUGGCUGCAACUGUUUAUUAAAAACACAGCACUGUGCAAACACGAAAGUGGACGUAUACGGUGUGACGCCUGCCCGGUGCCGGAAGGUUAAUUGAUGGGGUCAGCGCAAGCGAAGCUCCUGAUCGAAGCCCCGGUAAACGGCGGCCGUAACUAUAACGGUCCUAAGGUAGCGAAAUUCCUUGUCGGGUAAGUUCCGACCUGCACGAAUGGCGUAAUGAUGGCCAGGCUGUCUCCACCCGAGACUCAGUGAAAUUGAACUCGCUGUGAAGAUGCAGUGUACCCGCGGCAAGACGGAAAGACCCCGUGAACCUUUACUAUAGCUUGACACUGAACAUUGAGCCUUGAUGUGUAGGAUAGGUGGGAGGCUUUGAAGUGUGGACGCCAGUCUGCAUGGAGCCGACCUUGAAAUACCACCCUUUAAUGUUUGAUGUUCUAACGUGGACCCGUGAUCCGGGUUGCGGACAGUGUCUGGUGGGUAGUUUGACUGGGGCGGUCUCCUCCUAAAGAGUAACGGAGGAGCACGAAGGUUGGCUAAUCCUGGUCGGACAUCAGGAGGUUAGUGCAAUGGCAUAAGCCAGCUUGACUGCGAGCGUGACGGCGCGAGCAGGUGCGAAAGCAGGUCAUAGUGAUCCGGUGGUUCUGAAUGGAAGGGCCAUCGCUCAACGGAUAAAAGGUACUCCGGGGAUAACAGGCUGAUACCGCCCAAGAGUUCAUAUCGACGGCGGUGUUUGGCACCUCGAUGUCGGCUCAUCACAUCCUGGGGCUGAAGUAGGUCCCAAGGGUAUGGCUGUUCGCCAUUUAAAGUGGUACGCGAGCUGGGUUUAGAACGUCGUGAGACAGUUCGGUCCCUAUCUGCCGUGGGCGCUGGAGAACUGAGGGGGGCUGCUCCUAGUACGAGAGGACCGGAGUGGACGCAUCACUGGUGUUCGGGUUGUCAUGCCAAUGGCACUGCCCGGUAGCUAAAUGCGGAAGAGAUAAGUGCUGAAAGCAUCUAAGCACGAAACUUGCCCCGAG
rnacentral:rRNA from 3 species